rnacentral:lncRNA from 1 species
AAGCCUGCGAAUAACCAGGUGGAGAUAACUCCAUAUCUGGCAGAGGACGAACUUCUGCAGUUCUCCCUCAAGAACGGCAUCUCAACUACUGGCUACGCGCCGUUCGGGGCACCAGGACAGAACUAUGUAUCCAAGGAUGCACCCAACCUCUGGAAAACCCGACCAUUGUCGAAAUAGGAAGGAAAUACAACAAAUCCUCAGCUCAGGUGAUCCUCAGAUAUGGCAUACAGAGAGGCUAUGCUGUAAUUCCCAAGAGUACGAAUCCAGCUCAUCUGGCCCAGAACAUGGAUAUAUUUGACUUCAAGCUCAGUGAGGAGGAUAUGAAGACAAUGCUAGCUCUGGACAGAGGCCUUAGAAACAACUAUCAAAAAUUCGAAUGGAAAGAUCAUCCCUUCUUUCCCUAUAAGGAGUGACCUUGGACGGCGCUGAAGAUCACACGGUCAGACAAUCUACGGGGUCGAGGACGACUAUUAUCUGCACCAGUUGUUCCUGAUAUGUGUGUGAUCGUCUUCAAUGUGUAGCGAACACCGUUCAUAAUUUAUGCAUAGAGGGGAUGAUGAUGAUUUUAAGGGGGUGGGCACCCAUUUGUCCUGGGGAGCAUAAUUACACAACAAAUGUACACACCGAUUCAUUCACCUUUGUAAUAAUGGGGCGACUUGUGCUUGCUUUAAUGGCGUUCUUAAAAUCCUUAAAAUGGUGCUCUGUAUAAAUGGUACAAAAGUGGAUAUAUUGUACCUUCGCGUAACUUUUUAUGUUACAAGGAAUAUUACAAACAAAACAAUAGUUUGAUUAACCGAGUUUAUCCUGUGUUAUACAAUUAUUCAAAUUGCUGAACCAAUAUGUAAUGGUUGUUGCUGCAGUAGUAUAAACAAUGGGGGUACGGGACCAGCCUAUAUAAGGCAAGGAAUCAAUAAGUAUCCAUUCCUAACUCAUAUUAAUUUAUAAAUCCAUAACACAACUACUUUUCAUCUCCCCUGUAAAAAGUAA